rnacentral:rRNA from 1 species
AUUGAACGCUAGCGGCAUGCUUAACACAUGCAAGUCGAACGGCAGCGCGGACUUCGGUCUGGCGGCGAGUGGCGAACGGGUGAGUAAUGUAUCGGAAUCUGCCCAGUAGCGGGGGAUAACUACCCGAAAGCGAAGCUAAUACCGCAUACGCCCUACGGGGGAAAGCAGGGGAUCGUAAGACCUUGCACUAUCGGAGGGGCCUAGAUCGGAUUAGCUAGUUGGUGAGGUAAUGGCUCACCAAGGCGACGAUCCGUAGCUGGUCUGAGAGGACGAUCAGCCACACUGGAACUGAGACACGGCCCAGACUCCUACGGGAGGCAGCAGUGGGGAAUUUUGGACAAUGGGGGCAACCCUGAUCCAGCCAUCCCGCGUGUGCGAUGAAGGCCUUCGGGUUGUAAAGCACUUUUGGUAGGGAAGAAACGUCGCGGGCUAAUACCCCGUGGAAUUGACGGUACCUGCAGAAUAAGCACCGGCUAACUACGUG